rnacentral:rRNA from 1 species
UCUCUCCGAAUCUGCGAACGGCUCCGCAAACCAGUUGUAACCCAUAGCAAGCCUGCUCGUGGAACCCGGGAUGGUGUCCUCACGGACCCGCCCGGGGAAAGCGGGCGAUAAGGCUAUACCCCUGGUAAUCCUGUGGCUAAUACUCGACCAUACGACCCGCAGCCCGCGACCCUCGUCAUCCGACCGCUUGUGGCGGGGGACGGGGAAAUCGCGGUGCGGGGAGUGUGCGGACAUUAACCAAUAGCGAUGGGGGACACCUCACAAACCCUACCAGGAAAGAACGCACGUUCAAACCGCGGUACAAAAGGGAUGCGCGGUGGACACCAUCUCUCUCUGUGCUACGACUUCCUCCAUUCCUUGCCCUCGGGCGGAGGGUGGCCGGUCGCAUCGGGGGAGAGAUCGGGAGAAACCGCAUCCUCGCGGGCCUUGAAACGGGCUUCUGACCUAUCAACUGUACAGCAGUGCAAGGGACGUGCUGUGGUGACAACGGGUACAGAGGAUUAGGGUUCGAUCCUGGAGAGUGGGCCUGAGAGAUC